GCCAGUCACUGGCCGUAUCCAUGGCUGCCCCGCGGUCCUUGAGUUUGACAGCCCUGGUCCAAAGGGUGGAGUCGGAGGAGCCUUCGUCGAGGUACCGGAGGUGGAGUCGUGACGACGGAAUCGCAGCCCGUGGCGGGAGGAGCCUCCGGGCACCUAUUUAAGCCGGUGCGGAUCGUGGCUGCGAGACACUUGAGCGUUUGCUGUGGAUUCGGAGGUUUCGGCCGCGCGGAGAAGAAGAAGACAUGCAGAACGGUGCAAAGGAAGCCCCGAGAGGGUUGUAUCUGAAGGUGCAACUGGGCCUUUCUCUAGUCUCAGCUCAGGAUGGAUUCCAGUGUGAGGCCUGUCUUCAGAUCCAGUCUGAGAAUCCUGGGAUCGGAGAUGACUGUGGAAGAGAAGCGGGGAUCGUCCUCUGACAGCCACCUCUGCAGAGGAAUUGCCUGCAGCCUGAACCGCGUGUGUGGGGGAGGGUCUCGGUGGCAGCUCCUUCUUCUUAUGCAGAAGCCCCCUGGGAUCAGGGGGUGCCAAGAGUGCCUGAAAAUACAGAAAAAGCGCUUUAUCAUCCAAGGGAACGAUCAAGGGGAUUCCAAAAGAGA